ensembl:lncRNA LINC00963 long intergenic non-protein coding RNA 963
GGCAGGACGACACCGCUGGGGGCCGAGGGCAGGGCACGCCUUCGGAAUCCGGCUUCGAAGCCGGCCGCCUGACCUGGGGCAAGUGCUUUCAACUCUCUGAACUUCGGUUCCUCAUCUGCCAGUUGGCAGACGCUCAGCAAAUCUUCCUAGACUCACGGGGCGAAUUGUACAGUUGGGUAAAUCGAGGCCCAGAGAUGGCAAAAGGACCGUCCAAGGUCGUACAGCCACCCGGAAUUACAAUUCUUUUCUGCCGGGUCACACGCUGUCAUCCACGUGUUACCUAAGAGAGCUUUCCAGCCUGUGCUAAGAAAACUGCCCCACAUCAUCUGCAGUAGGACGGGGGAGUUGGAGCCCUGGUCAGGCCACUCUGCUACUGACCACAGUUUUCUCAUCUCUAAAAAGGCGCAGUAACAAUAUAAUUACCGUAUGCAGUCCCCCAGGAUACAGGGUCAAAGGAGAGCACAACCAUCGCAGUUGGAAGCCCAUGGGGCAGACCCAGACUUCACCCUCAGGUCACCCUCACCUGGACUUUGGGGUGCCCCACACCCCGCCCCAGGCCCUGGCCUCUGGAAUAUUUGGAAACUUGAACUGGGCCAGAGGCUUAAGCUCACAUCUGUCUGGAGCCUCAACUUUCUCCUCUGUAAAAUGGGCUAACACUGAAAGAACCUUGCAGAAUCUCAGCAACGUCACAGAGGACAUUGUUAGCACAGCCAGCGGGCUCCUGCUGGGCUGAGUUUGUGGGUAAUCCAAGCCUCGGCAGGUACAGUUCCUCCCUCAGCAGGGCCCAGGACACAGUGAGCAUACAAUAGACAUUAGCUGCUGUGGUGUCUUGAUUUCAAGCCCAGUGCAGAUGCAUCUGACUUACGAAACUUCAGUGACACCUGCUCUGUGCCAGACACUGAAGAUGGAGCAGUGAACAGCACUGACCCAGCCUGUCCUCCUGUUGCCUGCAGGCCAGAAGCAAGGUCUCGCUGUGUUACCCUGGCUGGAGUGCAGUGGCUACUUACAGGCAUGAUCAUAGCAUACUGCAGCCUCGAACUCCUGGACUAGAGCAGUUCUCCUGCCUCAGCCUCCAGAGCAGCUGGGACUGCAGACACGCACCACAGAGCCCAGCCUGAGUCAUUUUGAUUCUGUAACUGGCUUCCUCUCGGCGGGCAGGCUCACACCCUCCACCCCCAGCUGGAGAUGGAAGGAGGAUGCUCACCGCCCAUUCCUCAUGCAGGCCAUCGAUGGAAAUGUCAGACAGUGCGAGUCCACGCCUGAACACUUCUGGGGUCCGCUCUGGGACUGACACUGGCAGAUCCAUCGGUGAGCUCCCGCCUGCCACCUCUGGGCCUGCAUUGCGGUGAUAGGGCCAAGGGCCUGGGCCUUCAAUUCUCCAGACUUGCCAAAAUGCUCAGCGCAGGCCUCGUCGGCAACUGCAGACAAGCAGAGGCAGCACCUGGGCUCUGCCUGUGCCUGGCACAGUGAAGCGAGGGUGGGGGCAGGAAUGAGGGUCCUCUCCAUGCAAGGGGGGAAGAUAGAAGAACAAAAUUUCACCCUAAUGUAGUGUCUUUAGACCGUGCAAUGUUGUGCUCCUGUUAGUCUGAUAUCAGGGGCUUGCAGCCUGGCAAAGGAAAAAAAACAGGCUGAGGCACAUGAUAGAAGACAGGCAGGGAUGCCACAAUCAUAACCAUGGCAAAGACCAGGAUCAGAAAGGCCCACCAUCUCUGACCCCAAAUCCCUGGGCAGAUGGUUCCAGAACUCAGAAUUUUCCCAGUUGUAGAAAGAUGGGGCCAGGUGCAGUGGCUCACGCCUGUAAUCCCAGCAUUUUGGGAGUACAAGGUGGGCGGAUCACCUGAGGUCAGGAGUUCGAGACCAGCCUGGCCAACAUGGUGAAACCCUGUCUCUACUAAAAAAAAAAAAAAAAA